CCUACGGGUGGCAGCAGUGGGGAAUAUUGGGCAAUGGGCGCAAGCCUGACCCAGCAACGCCGCGUGAAGGAAGAAGGCUUUCGGGUUGUAAACUUCUUUUGUCAGGGAAGAGUAUAAGACGGUACCUGACGAAUAAGCCACGGCUAACUACGUGCCAGCGGCCGCGGUAAAACGUAGGUGGCAAGCGUUGUCCGGAUUUACUGGGUGUAAAGGGCGUGUAGCCGGGUUGACAAGUCAGAUAUGAAAUCCUGCGGCUUAACCGCAGAACUGCAUUUGAAACUGUUGAUCUUGAGUACUGGAGAGGCAGAUGGAAUUCCUAGUGUAGCGGUGAAAUGCGUAGAUAUUAGGAGGAACACCAGUGGCGAAGGCGGUCUGCUGGACAGCAACUGACGGUGAGGCGCGAAAGCGUGGGGAGCAAACAGGAUUAGAUACCCGUGUAGUC
rnacentral:rRNA from 1 species